rnacentral:rRNA from 1 species
UACAGAGGUCUCAAGCGUUGUUCGGAUUCAUUGGGCGUAAAGGGCGCGUAGGCGGCGGGGUAAGUCGGGUGUGAAAUCUCAGAGCUCAACUCUGAAACUGCACUCGAUACUGCUCUGCUUGAGGACUGGAGAGGAGACUGGAAUUCACGGUGUAGCAGUGAAAUGCGUAGAUAUCGGAAGGAACAUCAGUGGCGAAAGCGACUUCCUGGACCAAUACUGACGCUCAUGUGCGAAAGCGUGGGGAGCAAACAGG